CGGGACGGGUGAGUAACGCGUGGAAAACCUGCCGUAUACUGGGGGAUAACACUUAGAAAUAGGUGCUAAUACCGCAUAAGCGCACAGCUUCGCAUGAAGUGGUGUGAAAAACUCUGGUGGUAUACGAUGGUUCCGCGUCUGAUUAGCUUGUUGGCGGGGUAAUGGCUCACCAAGGCGACGAUCAGUAGCCGGCCUGAGAGGGUGGACGGCCACAUUGGGACUGAGACACGGCCCAAACUCCUACGGAAGGCAGCAG
rnacentral:rRNA from 1 species